rnacentral:rRNA from 1 species
CCUACGGUAGGCAGCAGUGGGGAAUAUUGGACAAUGGAGGGAACUCUGACCCAGCGAUGCCGCGUGAAUGAAGAAGUUCUUCGGUAUGUAAAGUUCUUUCAUCAGGGAAGAAAUCAAUGACGGUACCUGAAGAAUAAGCUCCGGCUAACUACGUGCCAGCAGCCGCGGGAAUACGUAGGGAGCAAGCGUUAUUCGGAAUGACUGGGCGUCAAGGGUGCGUAGGCGGUUGUACAAGUUAGAAGUGAAAUACCCAGGGCAUAACUCCGGGGCUGCUUCUUAAACUGUAUGACUGGAGAGCAGUAGAGGUGAGUGGAAUGCCUAGUGUAGCGGUGGAAUGCGUAGAUAUUAGGAGGAACACCAGAGGCGAAGGCGGCUUACUGGACUGCAACUGACGUUGAGGCACGAAAGCGUGGGGAGCAAACAGGAUUAGAUACCCUUGUAGUC